GUACAUGCAAAGAAUAAUCAUCACUACAUAAAGAUGAGUUACAAUUUUUUUAAUAAUAUACAAUAGCUUUGACAAGAGUUUAUAUUAGUCAAACCUACCAUAUGUUAAGCGGUUAACAAAUCAAUUUCGAGGUUAAUUAUAACUUUUAAGUAAUGUGCGGAACCAUCCACAAAACUAAUAGUAAACGAAUUAUCCCCCAACAUAUAUUGCUUAGUGUCGUAAACGUGAAGAAAAAC
rnacentral:lncRNA from 1 species